rnacentral:rRNA from 1 species
GAUGAACGCUGGCGGCGUGCCUAAUACAUGCAAGUCGAGCGAACAGACGAGGAGCUUGCUCCUCUGACGUUAGCGGCGGACGGGUGAGUAACACGUGGAUAACCUACCUAUAAGACUGGGAUAACUUCGGGAAACCGGAGCUAAUACCGGAUAAUAUAUUGAACCGCAUGGUUCAAUAGUGAAAGACGGUUUUGCUGUCACUUAUAGAUGGAUCCGCGCCGCAUUAGCUAGUUGGUAAGGUAACGGCUUACCAAGGCGACGAUGCGUAGCCGACCUGAGGGGGGGACCGGCCACACUGAACCGGAGACACGGCCCGACGCCCGAGGGGAGGCAGAGGGGGGAAAUCUACGGAAGUGGGCGAAAGCCUGACGGAGCAACGCGGGGUGAGUGAUGAAGGUCUUCGGAUCGUAAAACUCUUUUAUUGGGGAGAACAAAUGUGUAAGUAACUAUGCACGUCUUGACGGUACCUAAUCAGAAAGCCACGGCUAACUACGUG